rnacentral:rRNA from 1 species
UACGUAGGGUGCAAGCGUUGUCCGGAAUUAUUGGGCGUAAAGAGCUCGUAGGCGGUCUGUCGCGUCGGAUGUGAAAACCCAGGGCUCAACCCUGGGCCUGCAUUCGAUACGGGCAGACUAGAGUUCGGUAGGGGAGACUGGAAUUCCUGGUGUAGCGGUGAAAUGCGCAGAUAUCAGGAGGAACACCGGUGGCGAAGGCGGGUCUCUGGGCCGAACUGACGCUGAGGAGCGAAAGCGUGGGGAGCAAACAGG